ensembl:lncRNA
UUAUGUGCAUUGAUCUCUGCAUCAUAUCAGGCCACAGCUUCCUCUAACAGUACACCACAACUACACUGAGGAUUUUCCCCAAAUUUGUGACUGUUCUUCAGUCGCUAAGUCAUGUUCGACUGUUUGCGACUCCAUGGCCUGCAGCACGCAGGCUCCUCUGUCCUUCACUAUCUCUCGUUUGCUUAAAUUCAUGUGCGUUGAGUCAAUGAUGCUGUCUAACCAUCUCAUCCUUUGUCGCCCCUUCUCCUUUUGCCUUCAAUCUUUCCCAGCAUCAGGGUCUUUUCCAAUGAGUUGGUUCUUCGCAUCAGAUGGCCAAAGUAUUGGAGCUUCAGCAUCAGCCCUUCCAGUAAAUAUGCAGGGUUGAUUUCCUGUAGGAUUGACUGCUGCUGCUGCUGCUGCUGCUGCUAAGUCGCUUCAGUCGUGUCUGACUCUGUGCGACCCCAUAGACGGCAGCCCACCAGGCUCCACCAUCCCUGGGAUUCUCCAGGCAAGAACACUGGAGCGGGUUGCCAUUUCCUUCUCCAAUGCAUGAAAGUGAAAAGUGAAAGUGAAGUCGCUCAGUCCUGUCUGACUCUAUGCGACCCCAUGGACUGCAGCCUACCGGGCUCCUCCAUCCAUGGGAUUCUCCAGGCAAGAGUACUGGAGUGGGGUGCCAUUGCCUUCUCCGGUAGGAUUGACUAUUUUUCCCCAAAUUAUGUAACACUAAUUCAGUUACUUACCACUCCUGCCCUGCCUCUUAAUUCAUUCUUCAAAGCACAUAAACUUCCCACAUGUAGUUGCUGGCUGAAAGCCAACUUGGUACAGGCAGGCUAGCUGUUUAUUCCUGGGGCCAAAGCAGUCCACUCUAGUAUUCUUGCCUGGAGAAUUCCAGGGACAGAGAAGCCUGGCUCCAGUAUUCUUGCCUAGAGAAUUCCAGGGACAGAGAAGCCUGGCAGGCUAUAGUUCGUGGGGCCGCAAAGAGUCGGACACAACUGGGUGACUAACACACACACACACACACACAGACUCUAUAGGUGAGUAAAUAUUUGGAUGCCUGAUGUUGAAUGCGUAGAUGUUUAUCACACCCCCAGUUCUCCUGGUCAGCUUUUAAUCAUGACACUAUCUCAUUUGAGUGUUACUCUUACAUUUCUGAACACCCAA